AUAUUGGACAAUGGGCGCAAGCCUGAUCCAGCCAUGCCGCGUGAGUGAAGAAGGCCCUCGGGUUGUAAAGCUCUUUUGUCCGGAAAGAAAAGCUUUCGGUUAAUACCCGGAAGUCAUGACGGUACCAUAUGAAUAAGGACCGGCUAACUACGUUCCAGCAGCCGCGGUAAUACGUAGGGUCCAAGCGUUAUCCGGAAUCACUGGGCGUAAAGCGUGUGUAGGCGGCGUGUUAAGUGCAAUGCGAAAUCUUGUGGCUCAACCUGGGAAUGGCAUUGGAAACUGGCUGACUGGAGUGCGGUAGAGGGUAGUGGAAUUCCCGGUGUAGCAGUGAAAUGCGUAGAUAUCGGGAGGAACAUCCGUGGCGAAGGCGACUACCUGGACCAGCACUGACACUGAGGCACGAAAGCGUGGGGAGCAAACAGG
rnacentral:rRNA from 1 species